CCGACGGUGAGAGACGAAAGCUGGGGGCACGAACCGGAUUAGAUACCCGGGUAGUCCCAGCUGUAAACGAUGCUCGCUAGGUGUCAGGUGCGGUGCGACCGCAUCUGGUGCCGCAGUGAAAACUUGAAGCGAGUCACCUGGGAAGUGCGGUCGCAAGGCUGAAACUUAAAGGAAUUGGCGGGGGAGCACUACAACGGGUGGAGCCUGCGGUUCAAUUGGAUUCAACGCCGGAAAGCUUACCGGACUC
rnacentral:rRNA from 1 species